CAAUCAAAAUCGAUUUCAUCGUCUUCUUUCUCUCUUUCUCUCUUCAUCGUCAUUCAUCAUCAUCAUCAAAUCUCAGGAUCUUGGAGGUGGCUCUUCUCUUUCGUACCUACCUUCUAGACUGUGAUUUCCAAUCUUCGAACUCUCGUAGAGGAUUGCAAGAGCUGCUGAGUCCACGAGUUCUUCUCCAUCAGUAGCUUCCGGUGAUACAACCCUAAUCCAUGAUGAUGAAUUCACUCUAACCAAGGUUAUAUUGCUGUCAACCUAUCAAAUCCCUAAUCAAGAGUUUCUUCAAAUUCAGUGUGUCAAUGUGAUCGAGCACUUAGUGAAGUAGAUGAGAUUUUUGGUUAAUCAUAUUUUCCAGUUUUACUUGCGGAGACAAAUCUUCACUUUCGAUCAAUUCAUGGGUCCAGUCCGGUUCAAAGACAUCACGUAACAGUUAGCACUCCUCGGUCAGU